GAGCGGGCGGGGCGCCGCCGAGUGGCGGUGGAGGGAGAGCGCGGGAAAAUGGGCGGGCGGGCGGAGAGUUGCCCGGAUGCCCCCAAGUCAAGAUGGGUCCUUACCAGGCUCUGAAGUUAAGAUGGAUCCCUACAAGGCCCCCAUGUCAAGCAUCAGGAGCAGGUGAAGCCAGAGCAGCAGAUGCGGAUCAUUGAUCUGACAUGGCAAAGUCCUUCCCCCGCGGCUCGAGAGGUACGGAGGAGUGAGAAGUCUCAAGGGUCAUUGACUGAAGCUUUGCGAUCCAUGCUGCACAGACAGAGCAUGAUUUAAUCAUCCAUAAACUUAUUGAGCUCCUUCUCAAAAGCAAUUACGCUUUUCUGGUGUUGGUAUAAGGAAUAUAUCCAGCUGUCCAUACGCAUAUAGAUCUCAACUGUCCACCUCUCUGCGUAUUGGGCAGUAAAUAACUGCACCAGUUUUCACUCUCUGCUAAGCAGAGGGAAGCUGAAACAGACUGAAAAAAUAAAGGAGCUUCCACAACGUUCUGCCUCCCGAGUUAUUUAUUCUCCUCACAGCAGUUAUCUGCCACGUAUCCAACGUAACAUCUCCCAAAGGGCAGUGUAUGUUCAUUUUUGUCUCUGUUGAUGCUGCAGUGAGUUGGAUGUUAUUUUUCAGCACUAGAUAAAUCAGAAGAGUAAAAUACAUCAAGGAAAAUAUUCCUUAGAAUAAUUAAAAUGCUGACAAGAAAAUGCAGCUGUAAAUCCAAACCUAUCUGCUAUUACAAAUGCAAUUAAUGUUGCUGGUUUCAGGGCCAUCCCAGUCCUUGCUUACGCAUAUCCUCAAAAGUCAUCACCUAACAAUGUACAGGUGAGACUUAAGAAAGUGAUUUAUAUGAGGGUGAGCGUGUGCCUGGGGAAACUGAAUGAGGAAGAUAAGAGGCAGCAAUAAGUGAAUGCAAGAUUCUGACUCCAUUCUUGCUUUUGCUGGAAAGCACAAGGAAUAGCCUGUUUGAUUUCAGUGCCAUUUUCCCCUAAUUGCAGUGGUACAAGGGAGAACAGAAUUUAGCCCAUACGUUGUAGUGCUAAUAACAGUUCCAAAUGUCAUCUGUGAGAAAGCUUGCCAUUUGCUUUUCUCAGCUGCGAAUGACUGAAGGGCUUCUCUUGUCAUACAAUACAGAAAUUCUGUCAUACCCUUUAUUUUUAGAAGAGCAAUUCACAGGCAGAGAGGGGUGGAGGAAGGGUUUUCUGAAUGUUUAUCGCUUGCACAUCAUACAGGAAGCUGUUCAAAAAUCUUGAUUAAUUUUCUAACAAUAUCCAGAGACUUACUCAGUCUGAGAUGUAAUAUGCUAAAAUCCUUUCCAAUAAAAUGUCACUUGAAAUGAAGAUCAGGGAGGAAUUAAAAACAGCCCAUCGCUGUGGAAGAUUAUCUGAGAGAAACUGGCCUGACCAGCCCGGCCUGCUUUGGCUUUCCCCAAAACUCCAUAAAUUCCAAGGGCUUUUAAAGGCAGAAUAUAAAAUAGAGGUGUCCCUCGUAACUGCAAGUAUCUUGCAAAAAGAAAUACUGAAAAAUGAGAUCCUGACUCGUGCCAGUGACGUUAAUGGCGAAGCUUUUGGCAUCAGGAUUCUGUCUCACGCAGAAGCACCUGAGCAACUAGGGCUCCAGAGGAGACCUCAGUGAAAAUGUUUAAUAAAAGCAGAUAUAGUACUGUGAAUAUUAUAGCCUGUUAACGAAGAUUCUGCCCCUUGCCUCUACUGAUGACACCAGGAUCAUCAGGUGGUCUGGAGGUAAUGUAUGAAUGACUGUGAUAUACUCUGCUGCUCCACUUUUUAACGGGACCUCUUGUCACACCGACAAAAUAGGAACCUCUUUUUCAAGUGUUUUGCUGAAGAUCUAAUUGAGUUUUCAGGCUGUAGAAUUUGGAUGCACUGAGGUCCUUGGCAACUCAACAUCCCCGGGAGCCAGUCAACAGGGUUCUUCAGCUGGGCUGGAAGGUCUCAGCUGUGACAGUGUUUGUGAGUACUUAACAGAGCCUGCCCUGCUCUGUCUUUUCCUGGUUUGUGAUUUUAAAAAUGUAUUUGGUUAAAAAAAAAUAGAGGGAAAAGCAGGUGAGUGAAGAAUGGCAAUAGAUAAAGCAUGUCGAUGGGCAGAGGGGCGGGCAGCAAGGAGAAGAAGCAUUCUCCUGCUCAGGAAAGCCGAUUAAGUAGGUGACGCAAUUAGUGAAAGGACAGUGGGAAUGCUCCAUUACAAGAAAAGCUGGAAUGUGUACCUAUUAGUGCAAGCUAGGGAGUUCAAACUAUGGAUGCAAGACAUGAAACUGAGUGAUAGAAUAACAACAACAGUGAGUUACAACUCACAACUAGAGCACAGGUACCAAAGAAUAAGUGCUGUUCAGGGAAGAUGGAGGUAAAUAUAUGAAUGGAGAGGCUGUGCUACGUGCUAGGGUUUACUGCACUGAACACAUAGGAGGUGGAACACAUAGAACAGAACUGGAGUAAGUCAAAGGCAUCCUGAGGAAAGAUGAGAUAAGAUUUUUCUCUUUGCUGCCUGCAGUAGCGCUAGCUAUCUGCCAUAGUUACUGAAAUACUGUUGGAGAAAGCAGGAGGAAAUUAUUAGCUGACUCUGUCUAAAUUACAUGGAGGAAUAAACAGAAUCUGGUCUUAACUGUCAUUUUCCAUCUCAAAAAAGCAAACCAGGAUUAAGCCAGCAGAGCCAAUUAAGGAGAUAAAUAUGACCCAAAGAACUUGGGUGUCUGAGCUGGGACAACAGUUGGCUCAUAGUUCCUAGUGAGGUGUGAUGCAGGGUACAUGGUUCCCAGGAUAGCUGACUGUCCAAGGUGAGAUGCCCAGAACUGGGUUAAAUAGACUCCAGUUUGGGGGACCUGAACAUGGAGAAAGCUUGAAAUUUCUUUCUGCCAGCGUUGCGUAACAUCUUCGAUUUAUAUCCCGUGUUAGAGGGGAAAACUGCAUCAGAAAGCUCUAAACCACAGCAAAAAAGAAACCAGAAGAGGAUACUGCGAGUAAACAAGGACUCUGAAACGUCAAGCAGCAGGACUCAUCACCAAGAAAGCUUUAUCCUCGGGAUGAAGCAGCUUAGGAUCCAGUAACAAGCAUGAAAGGAUAAGCUGGGAUAAGAAAAGGAGCUCCAGCACCUUCCUCUCAAAGAGUGGGUGAUGCUAAGCCCUGAUUUGAAGCAAAAGGAGAAUUCUUUUUAUCAGCGUUUCUCCAGUGACCUCAAGCAGGAUGGUGUGCUGCUUGUUGUAAUCCCAACCGACAACAGACAGUGCAACUCCUGCAAGUGUCACAGUCACAGUGUGAGGACUUGUGUCUUGACUCACAUGUUAUGCAAUCCUCCUCACCAGGAAGCUAGAAAGAACCUAUUAAAUCUGCCCACACAGCGUCUCUAAUGCCUGAGCUGAAAGUGUUGGGAAAUUAUGAUAGAUGCAUGGAGCCCUUCUCCUGGCUUCAGACAAAUGGGGGGAAAGUUCCUUCAGAAAAAUGUACGACUAAUUAUGGAUUUUCCAGCUGAGAUAAUGUUUGGAGGUCUGACUUUUUCUUUAAUUAAAUCAGAGGUUUACAACGGAACGCUUACAUUGCUGGUAGGAGUC